ACGGGAGGCAGCAGUGGGGAAUAUUGGGCAAUGGGCGAAAGCCUGACCCAGCAACGCCGCGUGAAGGAAGAAGGUUUUCGGAUUGUAAACUUCUUUUAUCAGGGACGAAGAGAGUGACGGUACCUGAUGAAUAAGCCACGGCUAACUACGUGCCAGCAGCCGCGGUAAUACGUAGGUGGCAAGCGUUAUCCGGAUUUAUUGGGUGUGAAGGGCGCGUAGGCGGGGAUGCAAGUCAGAUGUGAAAUCCAUGGGCUUAACCCAUGAACUGCAUUUGAAACUGUAUUUCUUGAGUGUCGGAGAGGUAGACGGAAUUCCUAGUGUAGCGGUGAAAUGCGUAGAUAUUAGGAGGAACACCAGUGGCGAAGGCGGUCUACUGGACGAUAACUGACGCUGAGGCGCGAAAGCGUGGGGAGCAAACAGGAUUAGAUACCCUGGUA
rnacentral:rRNA from 1 species